rnacentral:rRNA from 1 species
GACGAACGCUGGCGGCGUGCCUAGUGCAUGCAAGUCGAGCGGGCUACAGUCUUCGGACUGUAGCUUAGCGGCGAACGGGUGAGUAACACGUAGGUGAUCUACCCUUCAGAGGAGGGCAACCUCAGGAAACUGAGGCUAAACCUUCAUACGUUCACUGGUAGGGAUACUGGUGAAGAAAGAGCUACCCACAAGGUAGUUGCUGAAGGAUGAGCCUGCGGCCCAUCAGGUAGUUGGUGAGGUAACGGCUUACCAAGCCGAAGACGGGUAACCGGUCUGAGAGGAUGUCCGGUCACACUGGGACUGAGACACGGCCCAGACUCCUACGGGAGGCAGCAGCAGGGAAUCUUGGGCAAUGGGCGAAAGCCUGACCCAGCGACGCCGCGUGGAGGAAGAAGUCCUUCGGGGCGUAAACUCCUGGACUGGGGGACGAGGAAGGACGGUACCCCAGUAGAAAGGGACGGCUAACUACAUGCCAGCAGCCGCGGUAAAACGUAGGUCCCGAGCGUUGUUCGGAUUCACUGGGUGUAAAGGGCGCGUAGGUGGUUGUCUGUGUCUCAUGUGAAAACUCAGGGCUCAACUCUGAGAUUGCGUGGGAAACUAGGCAGCUAGAGGACGGUAGAGGGGAGUGGAAUUCCCGGUGUAGCGGUAAAAUGCGUAGAUAUCGGGAGGAACACCGGUGGCGAAGGCGGCUCUCUGGGCCGAUCCUGACGCUGAGGCGCGAAAGCUAGGGGAGCGAACC